UGGAUGGCAUUGGCUUUAGAGCGCCAUUCGGGAGUGAGACUCCGUAGGACUUUUCGAACAAGAUCUUUGUUCGUGUAAACUUUCCUGAGAGCAUGGAGAUCGUUGACGAUUCUUAAAAAUCGUUCAAACAUAACACCAAUGGGUUCCUUAUCCAUUUUAAAGAUUUCAUAUUUAUGUGUUAGAAAAUCAAUUUUGGCUUCUCGGACUAAAGGCGUACCUUCAUAAAUGAUCUCGAGCUUAUCCCACAUCUCCUUCGCGGUUGUGCAGCAAGAGAUUUUUCGAUAAUCAUCUGGAUUCACCACACAAUAUAAUACAU
rnacentral:lncRNA from 1 species